rnacentral:lncRNA from 1 species
UAUUGAUCAGAAAUUAAAAGCAGUUAUAUUAAUAACAUGUCGUAUUAAUGACCAAGAAAACUUUGGAGAAGAAGUACACUUAAACACUAUCCAAGACAAUCAUAUUGUGGAGAGGUUAAAAAGAACAUCCAAACCAAAGCUUAGUAUUUUUAUAUGAAAACUACCAUAUACUUGCCAAUACAAGGCAAGACAUUAAACCAAAGGACAAGAAAUAAACAUGACAUAGAGAUGUCAAAGUGAAACUAUAGUUACACUUUCAUCUGAAGAGAAAAACAUAGCAGUUCUCCUUAUUACUCAUAUCAAUAUAUAUAUUGGCAAAGAAUUGAAAUUGAGUUGAUAUUUUGCCCUCUGAUCUGGAGAAAAGAGUCCAAAGUGUUUCUCUGUGAUUUCUCCUAUCUUAUCAUUUUCAUCAAACAUGGCAAACAAAUAGGUUUCUAUAGUCUUUCCAGGUUUCUUUGGAGUUCCUGCCCCGCUUUUCACAUGAUUAAUCAAAUUUCUGUAGUAAGUUUGAGCAUUUUCAAUAGUUGCUACAGAGCUUCCUUCAGAAGGCCACCCACUUUCCGAUACAAUAAUCUCCACAUUUGGUCCUCCGGCUUUCUCUACAGCAAAAUACAUAGAAUCCAAAAGGGCAUCAAAAAGAUUUUGAUAUCCUAGAGAAUUUUCUUCUUGUUGUGUGAACAAUGCAUAAGAAAGUGCGACAUUAACAGUGUUGGAAAUGUGAACAAAAUAAGGAUAGACAUUGGCUAAGAGUGGAAGGUUAUUUCGUGCUAGAAAUUCGAUUAUAGGAUUAAUGAAACUCUUGAAUUCUUCGCGAAAAAUACUACUUUCCGGUGGGUAGGUAUUCGUUAAGAGCCCUGAAUAUGUCACAGUUGAGACCUUGAUCAUAUCUUGCAACCCUGCCGCUGCUAAUGCAUUGUACACAUUUUUCAUUGCAUGAAGAAGAAAUUGUGCAUAUUGACCAUUAUUUGUGGGAGAUACUUCAUUUCCUAUAGAUAUGUACUUGAAUGUAACAUAAGGGAAAUGACUUCUAAUAUUAUCUUGAACCCAACCAUUGGCUAUUGACGAAUUCGCUAGGGCUUCAAUAUCUUGAUUUGGGACACCAAGAAUGAUCUCAAUGUUACUUCCAUUGAGAGCUUUGAAAAUGUUUUUAUCAGGAUAGUAGAUUCUCAUCUUUCUGAUGCCAUUAGCAUUGUAUAGGUUUAUAACAUCUUGGUCUGAUGGUAAAUUGUUGGCAUCUUUUCCAUAACAUACUCCAAUAGAUUGUGCCCCUGCAUGAUAAGAAAAAAUGUACGUCAGAAUAAACAACAACAAUAACAACGUUGCGACAGUUCCCAAAUAAGUUAGGUGUCGGACUAAAUGAAUAUUCUCAAUAAAUAUGAUUCUCUAUAUAAAUUCUUCUCAAACCAACAUUAUAGUGUCAGGUCAUCUAGAAGUAAAUAUAAGUAACUGUUCAUAAUAAGUGACUUAAACAAAUAAGGUAUGGUACCUGAUACAACAUAAAUAUAAUAUAACAAACUCAAUAUAAUUUUACAAGUGGGGUCUGGGAAGGUAGAGUGUAUGCAUAUUUUACCCCUAACUUUUGAGAAUAGAAAAAUUAUUUUCGAUAAACCUUUGGCUCAAAGAAAAGAUAGAAACGAAGCAAUAGCAAUAACAACAAACAGUGAAUAACUGCAAGUUAAUAGAUCAACCAAAUUGACAAAAACAAGAACAGAAUCUCUGGCUAGUAAAGAAAAACUGAGCAUAAGAAAAUACAAGAGCAAAUCAGUACUAUCAUAAAAGUUAUUUACGCUAUUAGCGUAUAUAAGUUGAUCCGCAUCGUACAAGGUGCAUAUACAUGUGUGAAGAGAGAGACCUAUUAUUCGGAUACUGCAAAUUAACAGCCCAACAAGUACAAGGGCAGCUGCAAGAAAGCCAUUUUUAAUGCAUAAAGCCAUAGCUAAAAUGGAAAUGAGCUGAAAUUGUGUGUUUAAGGAACCAUUAAGCUGCUUUUAUAUAGACAAGCAGAAGAAGACUGACAAAGACUUAAAGAGUCAAAGUCAAUUGCCCAGUGAAGCACGUUAUGGAAUAAAGUGUAAUUUUUGUCACAAGUUAAGAAAAAAAAAUAUAGAAAGUUCAAACCUAAUGUCACAAGUAGGGGUGUAUAAAGAAAACUGAUAAACCGCACCAACCCAAUAAUCCGAGUCAAACCGAGAAAAAAACCCGAGAAAAACCGAUAUUGGAAAACCUGAAUUUAUUGGUUUGGUUUGGUCAUUAGAUUUAAUAACCCGACACAAUUGGUUUGGUUUGGUAAUUGUAAAAUCCGAACCAACCCGAUCUAUGUACACCCCUAUUAGCUGGUAUGAUUCAGAGAAAGGAAACAGAAUCUGGUCUUUGGCAUAUGAGGUUGGGAUAUACAGCUAUGAAUAUAUGCCCCUUGGAAAAACAAUGUAGAUUACAAUUCCCCAUAAGUACUACUAGUUCAACAUCUAUCUUCCUAUUAAUCCAUAUAAAUGUUUGGGGGCCCUAUAAGGUGCCUACAUAUGAUAGGAAGCAGUAUUUUGUCACUAUUGUGGAUUAUCUUAGUAUGUACACUUGGCUUUGUCUAAAAAACUCUAAAUGUGAAGUGAUAGUUAGGUUGAAAAAUUUAUUUCCAUAAUAAAGAAUCAGUUUGCUGCUACUGUGAAACUAUGUACACCCCUAGUCACAAGUGAUGGAGAGACAAAGAAUUUUAUGAGAAACAAUGGUCGAAUAUUCGGAGAAGACACAACUUUGCCCUCAGUAGACUUUAAUUCCGAAUAGUUUAACAGAAAAUUUAAACACUUUAAUUAAAAUAUAUAUGCAGUGAUUAUCUCCGUUAUCACAACUAGACAUACAGCUAAGGACGUAAUUGGGUUGGGCUCGGGUUUAAAAGGGCCUCAAGGGCUGGUCCUAAGUGGGACCGGGAUGGUGGGCUUUUGGUAGAAUCAGACCAGGACCAUGAACUAAUGGUCCCGGGCUAAGUGGACCGGCCAGAGCUUAUGUGGGCCUAAGUGGGCCCAACAGUUCAUUUCAAAUUUCUUUUUCUAAAAAAAAGAAAUUGUCAUAUAGGGCAAUUCCUUGUAAAAACUCUAUUAUAGAAAUGCGAAUUUAAUUUAAACACAAAAAAAUUAAAAAAAGAUAUUUAAAGCAAUGUAUUAUAAUUUUAUUAUAGCAAUAACAAAACAUGUGAAUAUGAUCUUUCUUACUCUUCCUUCCCCUUUGAAAACAGCCCAACAAGGACAAGGGCGCGCAGCUGCAAGAAAGCCAUUUGUAAUGCAUUAAGCCAUACCUAAAAUGUAAAUGAGAGAGUUCUUAUAUAGACUAAGCAGAAGAUGACCGACAAAGACAUAAACCCAAAGUCAAUUGCCCAGUGAAGCACGUAAGAGAAUAAAAACAGUGUAAAUUUUGUCACAAGUGAAGAAGAAAAAAAUGUAGCAAGUUCAAAUCUAAUGUUGUAAUGGAGACAUAGAAUUUUAUGAGAAAAAUGGUCGAAUAUUCGGAGAAAGGGCAACUUUGCCCUACGUAGACUUUAAUUCCGAAUAGUUUAACGGCAAAUUUAAACAUUUUAUUUUCAAUAUAUGUGAUGAUUAUCUACGUUAUCAUAAUUAGGUAUACAACAACUCAUUUACGUGUAUUUGAUACUCCCAUUAUGGGAGUCCCAUGUUCUGAAAUAUUUCUAGUUUUUUCCAAAUUGAAUUUGAUUAAAAAUCUUUGAGGUGUUAGAAAAUAGGAAAUCAUCUGAUUAUCCUAUCUUUUUAAUUAGUAUAAUUAAUAUUGAUUAAGUGAUAUGUUUAAGGAGAGAACAGGGAAUUUAGACAAUACCCUUAUAAUUAUGUCUAAAAUGACUUUCCUAAGAGCAUGCAAACAUCUUAAAAGAUAUGUAAUAUUGACAAGAGGCAGUAAAGUUAAAGGAAACACUUAAAUUUGUUUUGUAAAAACAAAACGGACAAAGAAAUCCACAAACACAAUGGAGGCUUAACAAAGUAGGUGGCCUAAAGCAUAUUUUGGUGAAGAGGCCUUACAUUUUUGUGUAAACGUCCAUAUAUUUUUUAGUUGAAGUUAAUUUUUAUAGUUUCUUGAGAUGCAAAGUUGUUAAAUAAUUCCUACUAGAAAACGUAGCCACAUACAUUUAGUUAAUAGUAAUAUAGAUAAUUUUGUUCCAUUAGUGAUAAACCAUCAGUAUUGGAAUUAUUAUUAUAAGAUGCACGAAUAUAUAGAUGUAAAUAUUUAUACUCUCUUUUCUUAUUUUAAUAAAGUCACAAUUUUUCUGUCACGAUCCCAACCCCGAUUAUGAUGGCGUCCAACACACUGCUAGGCAAGCCCGACCAUUCACAACAUUAUCUCUUUUUUUAUACAGAUUAUAAUUAAAUAACACAAGAAACUUACUAAAGCAUUUUACUAGAAGUCCAGAAAUAUCGAUAAAAUAUGCGGAAGUUCAAUUAGAAUACUGCAACAUAGCCCAAUAGAAUCUGGUUUCAAGAGUUUGUGCCUCUAAUACAGAAUAUCCACCUACUACAAGUCUGUCUAGGAAGUACGAAAUAAAAGAUAGAGAUAGAGGGGAGAGAUCAAGGCUGCGAACGCCAUGCAGCUACCUCGAUACUCCCGAAUACGACUCUGCUCAGCUACACAAUCCUCACUUAGCAUGUGGUGUACCUGGAUCUGCACGCAAGGUACAGGGAGCUAGUAAUGUGAGUAUUCCGACCCAAUGAGUAAUAAACAUAAAUAAAGGCUGAGAAUAUUAAGUCAUGAAAUAACGCAAAGUAAUCUAUAAUUGGUAAUAUAGAAACAUUAAUAAGGAAGCAGUAAACCACUAAGAUAGAAAUAAAGAAAUACUUCAACGAAUGAACACAUAAAGAGCAAAUGAAUAAGGGAAAUGGAAUACAUAAAAUGGUACACUCUAGUAUUCGCUACGGGGUGCAACCCGAUUCAUUUAUUUAUCUUGACGGUAUUCAUUAGGGGUGUGUACAGACUCCGGGAGGGGCUCCUACAGUCUAAGCGCAAUAUCAAGUUAUCUCGUGGCAUCAAUCAGGCUCUCGGCCUCUAUAUCAAUAUAAUAAUGACGCGUCGCGCAGCCCGAUCCAUGCUCAAUCAAGAAAUUCACAUAAGGCCUCGAAAAAUAUUAAAAUAAUAGUUCUCAUAUCAAAACGUCAAUAAAAUAUUGUUUAAGCUUUCAAAUCUCAAAAAGAUGUCUGAAUUUGCAAGACAGUAUUUAAAACUUUGGACUGAGAUCAGAUAAUAUGUCAAGUAAUGUGGAAACAGUCAUAACAAUCCCUGAAGGAUUCAAAUAAUUGGCACAAAGCCCAAAUAUAACAAUUAAAUCCAAAUAAGGAUGAUAUCAAAUGAGUUCUAAUAGAAUACACGGUAAAAACAUCACUCGAGACGGACCAAGUCACGAUCCCCAAUAGUAAACGCUCAUGCACUCGUCAUAGAGCGAUCGCAUAGCUAUACUCGUGUUCGCAUUGAAGAAAAUACAUCCAGGACCCCAUGUCCAUUUAACAGUACGUGAUCGCAAUCCACCCAACGUGAUUGCAAUGAGCAACAGAACAGCUUCCCCAAAACCUUCUACGCGUUCGCAAUGAACCUCAUGCGAUAACAGAGAGUAAAUGUCUGCAACACUUCAGCUGAAAAAUCUGCAACUUCCAAAGGUUAGAAUUGGUGUGUUGACCAUCCGAAAUCAUCCUGAGUCCCCCGGGACCUCAACCAAAGGUGCCAAACCAUCCUAAAACAUCAUCCAAACUCGUUCCAAUCAUCAAAACAAAUUAAACAAUACUAAAAUCCUCAAUUCUCAACGAAUCCAAGCCUAAGUUGUUCAAAAUCAUCCGAAACUCGCAUUCGAUCAAAAACUCAGUCAAAUCACCUCCGAAUAACCUGAAAGUUUGCACAUACAUCCUAAAUCACCUGAUGAAACUACUUCAACUCUCGAAAUUCCAUUCUGGAAUUCGCCAAAAUACUAACUUCACCAAUUUAAUCUUAAUUCUAUACCAGACCUCCAAAAUAACUUCUGAUCACAUUCCUAAGACCCAAAUUAUCCCCCGAAGCUAACCGAAUCACCGAAAAUUACAUUCGAGCCCUCUACCUCAUAAGUAAAUAUUUGGUUGACUUUUCCAAAACAGGCCUUUCUUAAAGAGACUAAGUAUCUCAUUUACUACCAAACCAAUCCAAAUCAACUCUAACACACCCAAUACCGACAAUGAAACAUAAAGAAGCAGAAAAUAGGGAAAACGAAGCGGUAAAUCAUGAAGCGAUGGGUUGGGUCGUCACACUUUCCUUUUUUUGCUUUUCAUGUACGAUAACAUACUUUCUCUUUCAUUUCUUUCUAACUUUCUUUCUCCAAGAGUUUAAAAGUUCAAUGGUUAAAAACAAUUUGGGGUAAAAAUUUGAGAUUAUUAGAUAACGAGAAUUUUUAAAAAAUAUCGGCGUAAACUUAAAUGUUCCUUAUAAUAUAAUAAUAAUUCUGAUUUUGGUGGUUUAGACUUAUUCUAAACUAAAAGUGUUAAAUAAAAUAGUAGAAGUAAAAAUAUAAAAGACUUAAUUCUUUUUUAAAUGCUUAUAUUUCAUAUAAAACAAUAUUAAAUAGUUGCUCCGUGUAAAGAAGCCUUUUAAAACUAAAAUUGGUAGAAUCUUAUCUAAGAUCAGCAAUUCUCAAAAUAUACUAAAUGAGUUGGCUAUCAUUCUAAAAUGAUAUAUUAAAAGAAAACAAUAAUUUAAAAAAUUAUCAAAAUUUUGCAUCUCAAAAAGUUAGAACAAUUGAUUUGUUUGAAAAACAAUAUUUCUAAUAUUAAAGGCCUCCAUAUAAAUUUUGGCAUUGUGAUGAACCGAAAGGUCAUCUUGUACUUUAGAACUCAACUAUGUGCUUAUAAGCCUUAAAACGCAUUAUUACCCUGCUCGAUUUGCUUAAGAAAUCCAAAUAUAUUUCUGAAAAUAUUUUAUGUUAAAAGUUGAUGAAAAUAAGAAAUUUUGCCUAAAAGAUUCAUUUGAGUUGACUUUGGUCAACAUCUUUGGUAAACGAACCCAAAUUUAUAUUAUGACGAUUCCAUUGGAUUCGUAUCAAAAUCAAAAGUCCCUUGCCCGAGAUAUCGGACUUUGUCAAUAUUUGAAAGGUAAAGAACUAAGGAAAUGGAGAUGUUUGACCAAGGUUUGAUUUUUUUGAUAUCAGGUCCAUAUUUUAAUUUUAGAACUUGAUAUAGGUCCAAUACCCAAUUUAUGACUUGUCUGUGAAAUUUUAUAAGAAACGGAGUUGGUUUGAUAUGAUUCGGACGUCCAGUUGAGAAAUUA